rnacentral:rRNA from 1 species
UACGGGGGGGGUAAGCGUUGUUCGGAAUUACUGGGCGUAAAGGGCUCGUAGGUGGCCAACUAAGUCAGACGUGAAAUCCCCAGGCUCAACUUGGGAACUGCGUCUGAUACUGGAUGGCUUGAAUUCGGGAGAGGGAUGCAGAAUUCCAGGUGUAGCGGUGAAAUGCGUAGAUAUCUGGAGGAAUACCGGUGGCGAAGGCGGCAUCCUGGACCGAGAUUGACACUGAUGAGCGAAAGCUAGGGCAGCAAACGGG